rfam:Dictyocaulus viviparus strain HannoverDv2000 D_viviparus-1.0_Cont1021.3, whole genome shotgun sequence.
UCGUCGGUAGUGCAACCAGUAUGCACAAUAAACCGGGGAUUUGUAGAUGUGGUUUCGAAUCCCACCUGAUGUU